GACGAACGCUGGCGGCGUGCUUAACACAUGCAAGUCGAACGGAAAGGCCUGCUUUCCCUUGUGGAUUGCGGGUACUCGAGUGGCGAACGGGUGAGUAACACGUGAGUGAUCUGCCCCCAACUUGGGUAUAAGCCUGGGAAACUGGGUCUAAUUCCCGAUAGGACUGCAGGGUGGUGCCUGUGGUGGAAAACGAUUUUCUAGUGGUUGGGGAUGAGCUCGCGGCCUAUCAGCUUGUUGGUGGGGUAAUGGCCUACCAAGGCGGCGACGGGUAGCCGGCCUGAGAGGGUGGACGGCCCAAUUGGGACUGAGAUACGGCCCAGACUCCUACGGGAGGCAGCAGUGGGGAAUAUUGCACAAUGGGCGGAAGCCUGAUGCAGCGACGCCGCGUGGGGGAUGACGGCCUUCGGGUUGUAAACUCCUUUCGACCGCGAGGAAGCCACCUGGUUGGAAGGGUGGUGACGGUAGUGGUAGAAGAAGCACCGGCUAACUACGUG
rnacentral:rRNA from 1 species